rnacentral:rRNA from 1 species
AUGCAUGGAAGAAAAUGUGGCGACUUCAAGUUCCUCCAAAGGUUAGGAAUUUCUGGUGGCGUAUUUGUUCAUGAUUUCAUUCCGUGCCGCGCGGUGCUGAAGCGAAGACAUGUGGAGGAAAUUGACUUCUGUGAAAGUUGUGGGCAGCCGGAAACUUCGAUGCAUGCAAUUUUUCAUUGUACUUGGGCUCGAAGUUUUUGGGACGAGAUUAAAAUUCUAACUGGCAUUAAAAUUCCCAAACUUCACCCGCAAUCGUGGACACUUGAUCUUGUUGAUGGAACCAAGGUUUCUCAAGCAGAUGCUUGCGUUAUUUGUUGUGGUGCGUGGGCAAUAUGGACUGAGCGAAAUACAAGAAGACAUGGGGAGGCUGGACGUACCAUAGCGCAAUUUGUCAAAUGGGUUACUGAUACAGUGAUGGAUUUGGUUAUGGCAGGAAAAGAAAACUUAGUUAAGGCGCCGAAGGUGAAAGCUAAAUGGUCACCACCUGAAAAUGGAGUGAUCAAGGUGAAUGUUGAUGCCUCCUUUGAUGAGAAUACCAAUCAAGGGUCUUCCGGGCUGGUGAUCCGUGAUAGUUUUGGCAAUCUUCUACGUGCACAAGCCCUUUGGUAUGAGUUUGCAGCAAGCUCGAUGGCAAUGGAAGCUGAGGCGAUUCGGGAUGGGGUGCAAGUGGCCCUGGAGAGAGGCUUCCGUAGAGUUGUCGUCGAGAGCGACGCUCAAGCAAUCAUAAAGCUGUGGGAGACAGAA